rnacentral:rRNA from 1 species
UGGCGGACGGGUGAGUAACGCGUGGGUAACCUGCCUUACACAGGGGGAUAACACUUAGAAAUAGGUGCUAAAACCGCAUAAGCGCACAGCUUCGCAUGAAGCGGUGUGAAAAACUCCGGUGGUGUAAGAUGGACCCGCGUCUGAUCAGCUUGUUGGCGGGGUAACGGCCCACCAAGGCGACGAUCAGUAGCCGGCCUGAGAGGGCGGACGGCCACAUUGGGACUGAGACACGGCCCAGACUCCUACGGGAGGCAGCAG